rnacentral:rRNA from 1 species
ACACGGUCCAGACUCCUACGGGAGGCAGCAGUGGGGAAUAUUGGACAAUGGGCGAAAGCCUGAUCCAGCCAUGCCGCGUGUGUGAAGAAGGUCUUCGGAUUGUAAAGCACUUUAAGUUGGGAGGAAGGGCCGUUACCUAAUACGUGAUGGUUUUGACGUUACCGACAGAAUAAGCACCGGCUAACUCUGUGCCAGCAGCCGCGGUAAUACAGAGGGUGCAAGCGUUAAUCGGAAUUACUGGGCGUAAAGCGCGCGUAGGUGGUUCGUUAAGUUGGAUGUGAAAUCCCCGGGCUCAACCUGGGAACUGCAUUCAAAACUGUCGAGCUAGAGUAUGGUAGAGGGUGGUGGAAUUUCCUGUGUANCGGUGAAAUGCGUANAUAUAGGAAGGAACACCAGUGGCGAAGGCGACCACCUGGACUGAUACUGACACUGAAGUGCGAAAGCGUGGGGAGCAAACAGGAUUAGAUACCCUGGUAGUCCACGCCGUAAACGAUGU